rnacentral:sRNA from 1 species
AAUGUCAGUCUAGGCCAAGUUCUCAAAAUUAAGUAAUUUUUAAUAAGCACAAAGACAACAGUAUUAGUCGUUGGCAUUUUCAUGGUUUACUUUUUCUUCAUUGAUCUAAGUUGAGAUUUUGUUUUUCAUUUUGUGAAAUAUCUAGAAACAUUUUAGUUGUUUUUAGAAGAUUAAUAAAUGAAAAUAAAAUAGUUCUGUGAAUGUAUAUAUUCUGAUAUUUAAUAUUGUCAUUGUAUUAAUAUAUUUUUUAUUUACAAUAUAAUUUGUCUUGAGUGAUUUUGGAACUUGAGCUUUUUCCUUCUUGAAUCUGAUUGUUUUUAAGGAGCUUAUGCUCUGUUACAUAGUCUUAAGUGUUAUUUUCAGGAAAAUUGCUUUUAAGAAGAAAAAAAUAUAUAACUUUUUUGUUUAUUUUUCUUCCAUAGCCUUUGUUUAGUACCAGUCACUCUUUUACUUUCCAAUUGUUCUAAGGCUGAUGUAGAUGUCAUAGUUGAUCUUCGGCAUAAAACAACAAGUCCAGAAGCACUGGAAAUCCAUGGAUCAUUCACGUGGCUUGGACAAACACAGUAUAAACUUCAACUUAA